rnacentral:lncRNA from 1 species
CCAACUAAAAUUGACACGAACAAUACAGGCAUGUAUUAUCUCACAUCGCAAACCGGAAGUGCCCCAGUAUCAUCAUUGGGGGCCCCGGAUCUUUCCUUCCUUCUGUUCUUCCAUCCUCAGCAGACUGGCUUUCACCCUCAGGUUGUGCUCCAUGGUCAUGGGAUGACUGCCACAGCUGCGGGCAUCAUUCUCUCACAACCAUGGUCCAAGGAGGAAAAGGAUCUUACUAUGUAGUUCAGGCUGGCCUUGAACUCACUCUGUGUCCCAAGAUAGCCUCGAACUCAUGGCAGUCCUUUUGUCUCAGCCUCCUGAGUGCUGGGAUUACAGUUGCCCCGGACACCUCCCAGGCAGCCACAGUUACAUCAUACACAUCAUGGUUGCUCUGGGAGACAUUUGCUUGGCUGGUACAAGCUUUGGUCACAAGUCCAUCCCAAAUGACUCCACCCCACAGCUCUUCAGAUACUGCCUCUCUGCAGCCCUCCUCAAUCAGGGUCUCACUUUGUAGUUCAGGCUGGCCUCAAAUUUGCAGCAAUACUCCUGCCUCAGCCUCCCAACUGCUGGGAUUACAGGUCCAUGUGCAAGGGGCUGAGGACAGCUGCCAGCCAAAACCCAUCAAAGAACUGAGACCCACAGUCCAACAGCUGCUGAGGAACUGAAUUCCCAUAACCAUAUGAGUUUAAAGGCAGGCCCUGCUUCAGCCGAGCCUUCAGAUGAGACCUCUACGCUGGCUGAUCCCUUGACUGCUGCCUUGUAAACCAGAGAAUGCAUUUAAGCCCAUAUCCAGGUUCCUGACCCACAGAAACUCUGAGGUAAUAAAUGUGUUAUUGUAAGCUGCCAAACUUUGGGAUAAUUUGUUAUGCAAACAACAGAUGACUAAUACAACUGUUUAAUUUUCUCUUAAAUUUAUACUGCAUAUUUAAUUUCAAAAUAAAUUAGUUAAAAACAUCCUCUAAAAUAACAACACAAACAACACUGGCCCAUCUUCCUUUUUUCAGAUUCCAUAUUCAUUAAGCAACUUCCAGAUUAUAUUUCAAGGUUUCCAGUUGUUCCCAAACUGGUAAGAGUGUGCCCCAAAUAAGUCAUCUAAACAUUCUGGUCAUUAGAAAGGAAACAGUAUAGUGGUCCCCUGGUUAAUGUACUCAAGUCUCCUUUGAGGAUAACUAGGGAGAAGAGAGUCAACCUCCGUGUAGAGCUGAUCAGCUCUGGGGCAGAUGAG